GGGAGCAAUAUGGGUGUUGAACUCAAUCCUUGAUGUGUUUGGUUUUUUAUCAUGACAACACAUUCAUUGUAACAACAUAUAGAUGUUGUCAUGACACAACAGAAAUGAGUAUUUGUGAAUGAUUCAUAUGUUGCUAUGUAAAUGUUUCUUGAUGAUUGUUAAUAGGGGAGCAGUAUGAGUGUUGAACACAAUCCCUGAUGUGUUUGGUUUUUUAUGAUGACAACAUAUUAAUUGUAACAACACAUAAAUGUUAUCAGGACACAACAGAAAUGUGUAUUUGUGAUUGAUAAAUAUGUUGCUAUGAAAAUGUUUAUCGUCGAUUAAUACAUAUGUUGAAAUAUUGUUUAGUUUGCAUAAUAUUGUGAUCAUGAUUUGUUUAUAUCUUU
rnacentral:lncRNA from 1 species